AAAAACAAAAAUAUCAACCCAACUAACUCUCAAGCUUUCAUUUAUUCAACAAUAACAAAAACAAGACAACAAUACUAAAACAAACAAAAACAAGUAAAGCUUAAGAUAGAUGAGACAACUAAUCCAUCUCUCCCCUCCCCCCAAACUUAUUUCACACAAAGUGAAAAUGAGUUUGGAAGAAAAGAGAAGGAGAAGUUGUCUCGGACUCACAAAAAAAACUAACAUAUAAAAAAAAAUAAACCAUACAAAAAUUAAAGGGUACCUUGUUGGGGUGCCUCCCAACUAGCGCUUAGUUUAACGUCAUGAGCUAGACGUCUCCAUGAUGGUGUUAUGGCUCGGGGGUGGUUCCAACGAACACUUCAACUUUUGGUUUCAAGGGCAAAAAUGCCUUGAUUCUUUCCUUCUCAACCACAAAGGUUCUUUC
rnacentral:lncRNA from 1 species